AAUUCUCUCCCCUUGAAAGUGGGCUAGACUUGGCAAAUACGAUGUGGCAGAAGUGACACUAUGACUUCUGAGGCUGCGUGAUAAGAGGUGAUACGAUACAGCUUAUGCCUGGUUCUCUCUCUGGAUGCUUGCUCCUGGGACCCAGCAGCCAUCUUGUGAGGAAGCUCAAGCUACAUGGAGGUGUUCCUGCCGGCAGUCCCAGUUGAGGUCCUUCAAGAUGACUCCAACCCCAGCCUCCUUCUGACUUGAACCACAUACGAACUGCCCCCAGUGAGAACUGUCUAGCAGAGUCCACUCUCAGAACCAUGACAAAUUCUGGGCUCUUGAGAACAACAUCUGCUUGUUUACUG
rnacentral:lncRNA from 10 species